GUAGUCCUGGCUGUAAACGCUGCCCACUUGGUGUUGCCCUUUCCUUGGGAAGGGGCAGUUCCGGAGCGAAGGUGUUAAGUGGGCUGCUUGGGGAGUAUGGUCGCAAGGCUGAAACUUAAAGGAAUUGGCGGGAGAGCACCGCAACGGGAGGAGCGUGCGGUUUAAUUGGAUUCAACGCCGGAAAACUCACCAGGGGAGACCAUGGUAUGAGUGUCAGCCUGAAGAGCUUACACGAUCACAUGGAGAGGUGGUGCAUGGCCGUCGUCAGCUCGUACCGUAGAGCGUUCACUUAAGUGUGAUAACGAGCGAGACCCUUGCCCAUAUUUGCCACCUUCCUCGAGAGAGGAAGAGCACUAUAUGGGGACCGCUAGCGUUAAGCUAGAGGAAGGAGAGGUCAACGGCAGGUCAGUAUGCCCCGAAUCCCCUGGGCAACACGCGCGCUACAAAGGACGGAACAAUGGGUUGCAACUUCGAAAGGAGGAGCUAAUCCCGAAAUCCGUCCGUAGUUCAGACUGAGGGCUGUAAUUCGCCCUCACGAAGCUGGAUUCCGUAGUAAUCGCGGAUCAACAGUCCGCGGUGAAUAUGCCCCUGCUCUUUGCACACACCGCCUGUCAAGCCAUCCGAGUUGGUUUUGGAUGAGGGCCCACUUUUUGGUGGGUUCGAAUCCAAGAUCGAUGAGGAGGGCUAAGUCAUAACAAGGUAUCCGUAGGGGAACCUGCGGCUGGAUCACCUCC
rnacentral:rRNA from 1 species